CCAGUGCGUAGCCCCCUUCUCAUUUUUCUCUACCAAAAGAAGAAUUCCCAAAAAGUUCGUACUCAAAUCCAGAAGAACCCUAGCUCGUCGGCGCCUCCUUCCUCAGCGUCGAUCGACGCUUCGUCGGGCCAUCGGAGCGUCACCACUCCAGUCCAUCAUAGUUCUCAGUCGCCGGCGCUUCCUGUCGGUGGGAGUUCCGCCAUCGCGCAUAGUCGCACGGCGGAGGCUUCGAUGUUUUCUCUGAACGAUGAGGUAGCCGCCCCUGCCACGUCUCACAGAGGCAUCCGCCGUUGCCGACGCCACUUUCGGUAGAAAGGGGAUCGACUCCUCCAUCUUCUCCGAUCCAAAACGGAUCAGACCUCGACUAUCUCCCCCGUUUCGAAAUCGGGGCUCCAUCCCAUCGAUGUACCUCGGCGCCUUAAUCAUUCAGUCACCGUGGUCUCGCUUAUCCACCUCAUCUCCGGCCGCUUGACGAGCAGGGUCGUCGCCCGCCGUGUCGCCCUGCGCCGCUUCUUCCUCGUCUCUCCGACCUUGCGUAGCUAAGUCUCAUUCCUUCCCCUUUCUACUUGAACUAAAUUUUAGUCACUUCUCGUUUGUUUUCAGUAGUAGUUGGUGGACUAGCACUCCUUUGAGUGAUUUUGUAUUUGUUUCCAGUUUAUACACCUUACAGAUUUUGGAGCUGGGUGUUACUUUAAGACAAGGUCUUGAAUCUACUAAAAUCUUGUUCUUGACUAAGGUUUGAGCAAUAUUGAGAAUAGCUAGAUCUUAACAUGCCACGCUUAAGUUUCUGUACUGCUGUGAUUACUACUAAAUGUGGGAUCUCAAUUACAUGAUGGUAUGACUUGUUAUCUGAGCUUGAGAGUGAGUGAGUUUACCUUCACUGAAACUGUUUGGCUGCUCCCUACUCUGGCCUUGAUCGCCCUCACUCCUCACCAUGUGUAUAUAUAUACACAUUUCUUGUAACUGAAAGCUGCAAAAGCUUAGUGUUGGCUGGAAAAAGGACUCCACAGGUUGUGCAGCUGGCUUCUCUCUCUGCAGCUCUGCAGAGCAUGUACUCUGAGCCCCUGAUUUCUCUCUAACUGAUUUUUGGUGGCUUGUGGAGCUCUAGUUUGUUAACCUUAUUGCAGAGUCCUCUAGGCCUUACCUUCUGUUGUGCAUUCACUGCAUUAUUGUGCCUCUUUUGGCAGGUACAGCCGUGGGUGGCAGCCAUUGCAUCUAGGGUGACCGACCCCCUGCAGCGGUUGGACUGCCUCGCUGCCUCGUGGCAGCCUUCACUUCGUCGGGGAAGUGCUGGAGGCGCAGGUUGUGGAAAAGGUUGGCCUUGCCAUUCAUAGGCAAGACUCGUUUUCCAUAUUGGAAAGGCGGUGUUGCCAUUUCCUCUUAGAGAAAAGGGUUGCUAAUCAUGGUUCUCGGUUCGUCGGGCCGCUGGAGUUUGAGCCGAGAGACCGGUCUCUUUCGUGUGGUCUCCUUGCCCUUUUCGGCCAAGCCCAAGCUAACAAGAGGCCCAAUAUUAGUUUUCCCUUUGUGUUUUUUUUUUCUUUCUCCUUAUGUUGUAAUAGAGUAGUUUCUCUUUGGAAUCUCGCUUUUCUAUAACAUGUAUGCAUGUAAUACUAGUUGGUGUGUACCUUAUUUCAAGCAUUUAUUAGCCCGAAAUUCUUUAUAUUGUACUUAUUUUAUUCAAGAAAUAAAAUACUCUUUCAUUCUUUGUCAAA